ACGAACGCUGGCGGCACGCUUAACACAUGCAAGUCGAACGAGAGAAGAGAAGCUUGCUUUUCUGAUCUAGUGGCGGACGGGUGAGUAACACGUGAGCAAUCUGCCUUUCAGAGGGGGAUACCGAUUGGAAACGAUCGUUAAUACCGCAUAACAUAAUUGAACCGCAUGAUUUGAUUAUCAAAGAUUUAUCGCUGAAAGAUGAGCUCGCGUCUGAUUAGCUAGUUGGUAAGGUAACGGCUUACCAAGGCGACGAUCAGUAGCCGGACUGAGAGGUUGAUCGGCCACAUUGGGACUGAGACACGGCCCAGACUCCUACGGGAGGCAGCAGUGGGGAAUAUUGCACAAUGGAGGAAACUCUGAUGCAGCGAUGCCGCGUGAGGGAAGAAGGUUUUAGGAUUGUAAACCUCUGUCUUCAGGGACGAAAAAAGACGGUACCUGAGGAGGAAGCUCCGGCUAACUACGUGCCAGCAGCCGCGGUAAUACGUAGGGAGCGAGCGUUGUCCGGAAUUACUGGGUGUAAAGGGAGCGUAGGCGGGAUCGCAAGUCAGAUGUGAAAACUAUGGGCUUAACCCAUAAACUGCAUUUGAAACUGUGGUUCUUGAGUGAAGUAGAGGUAAGCGGAAUUCCUAGUGUAGCGGUGAAAUGCGUAGAUAUUAGGAGGAACAUCAGUGGCGAAGGCGGCUUACUGGGCUUUAACUGACGCUGAGGCUCGAAAGCGUGGGGAGCAAACAGGAUUAGAUACCCUGGUAGUCCACGCCGUAAACGAUGAUUACUAGGUGUGGGGGGACUGACCCCUUCCGUGCCGCAGCAAACGCAAUAAGUAAUCCACCUGGGGAGUACGACCGCAAGGUUGAAACUCAAAGGAAUUGACGGGGGCCCGCACAAGCAGUGGAGUAUGUGGAUUAAUUCGAAGCAACGCAAGAACCUUACCAGGUCUUGACAUCGUAUGCAUAGCUCAGAGAUGAGUGAAAUCUCUUCGGAGACAUAUAGACAGGUGGUGCAUGGUUGUCGUCAGCUCGUGUCGUGAGAUGUUGGGUUAAGUCCCGCAACGAGCGCAACCCUUACUGUUAGUUGCUACGCAAGAGCACUCUAGCAGGACUGCCGUUGACAAAACGGAGGAAGGUGGGGAUGACGUCAAAUCAUCAUGCCCCUUAUGACCUGGGCCUCACACGUACUACAAUGGCUGUAAACAGAGGGAUGCAAAGCCGCGAGGUGGAGCGAACCCCUAAAAGCAGUCUUAGUUCGGAUUGUAGGCUGCAACCCGCCUACAUGAAGUCGGAAUUGCUAGUAAUCGCAGAUCAGCAUGCUGCGGUGAAUACGUUCCCGGGCCUUGUACACACCGCCCGUCACGCCAUGGGAGUCGGUAACACCCGAAGCCUGUAGUCUAACCGCAAGGAGGACGCAGUCGAAGGUGGGAUUGAUGACUGGGGUG
rnacentral:rRNA from 1 species